UACGGAGGAUCCAAGCGUUAUCCGGAUUUAUUGGGUUUAAAGGGUGCGUAGGCGGCCUGUUAAGUCAGGGGUGAAAGACGGUAGCUCAACUAUCGCAGUGCCCUUGAUACUGAUGGGCUUGAAUGGUCUAGAGGUAGGCGGAAUGUGACAAGUAGCGGUGAAAUGCAUAGAUAUGUCACAGAACACCGAUUGCGAAGGCAGCUUACUAUGGUCCUAUUGACGCUGAGGCACGAAAGCGUGGGGAUCAAACAGG
rnacentral:rRNA from 1 species